rnacentral:rRNA from 1 species
GACGUAGGGCGCGAGCGUUGUCCGGAUUUAUUGGGCGUAAAGAGCUCGUAGGCGGCUCAGUAAGUCAGGUGUGAAACCUCCAGGCUCAACCUGGAGACGCCACCUGAUACUGCUGUGGCUAGAGUCCGGUAGGGGAGACUGGAAUUCCUGGUGUAGCGGUGAAAUGCGCAGAUAUCAGGAGGAACACCGGUGGCGAAGGCGGGUCUCUGGGCCGUAACUGACGCUGAGGAGCGAAAGCAUGGGGAGCGAACAGG